CCUACGGGAGGCAGCAGUGGGGGAUAUUGCACAAUGGGGGAAACCCUGAUGCAGCGACGCCGCGUGGGUGAAGAAGCGCCUCGGCGCGUAAAGCCCUGUCAGCAGGGAAGAAAAUGACGGUACCUGAAGAAGAAGCCCCGGCUAACUACGUGCCAGCCGCCGCGGUAAUACGUAGGGGGCAAGCGUUAUCCGGAUUUACUGGGUGUAAAGGGGGCGCAGACGGCGAUGCAAGCCAGGAGUGAAAGCCCGGGGUCCAACCCCGGGACUGCUCUUGGAACUGCGUGGCUAGAGUGCAGGAGGGGCAGGGGGAAUUUCCGGUGGAGGGGUGGAAAGCGGAGAAAACAGGAGGAACACCGGGGGGGAAGGCGGCCUGCUGGACUGCAACUGACGUUGAGGCCCGAAAGCGUGGGGAGCAAACAGGAUUAGAUACCCCAGUAGUC
rnacentral:rRNA from 1 species